CUCCACGGCAACAAUGGAUGAGAGGCAGAACCUCACGUAUGUAACUCGCAUCACAUCACCUGCUUCUCACAUUUAUACCCAAUCAAAUAUUUAAAAUAUUCAGCCUAGAGUUAUUCAAAAUGUAAUUAUUUCUCUAUUUAGGUCCAUGGAGGCACUGGAUGCAACCCAGUAGGUUUAUGUCCAUCAGCAUACUCUUUAUAUAGCCAAUAUGGACAAAAAAUCUAAACCAUUUUUUUUUUAAUAGAUGAAAUAUAAAUCCAAAAUGUUGAGUGCAUUUUCAUCGUUCUUUAUCUCACCUCCAUAUUGCGUCUAUCAUGUAGUGUUUCUGUAAAGAAUAAUCUAAACAUAUCCAACAUAUCCAUACUCCAACAUAUCACCUCCAUAUCACAUUUCCUCAGUACUUUACUUUUUUAUUGAAAGGCUAUUUUUCACACAAUGUUUUAACCAUUUGUGAGACUCUGUCAUGACUGUUCUUUCUCUCAGCUCCAGGAUAUGACUGGGUCACCCCAAGUAUGUGACCCCAUCAAAUCGCCUGCAUUUCACAUUUCUACACAAUUCACUUUUUCAAAAUCUGUUUAAAAUAUAUUCAAUGUUUGAAAUAUUCAGCCCGGGACAGUUCCAGAUGAAGUUAUUUCUCUCUAUAUUUCAGAUCCACGGUGGCCCAGGAUGAGACCCACUUCUUCAUACUGGCGCAGGAUGAGACCCACUUCAGGAUAUGAUUGGGCAACCCAAAAUCCACGGUGGCCCAGGAUGAGACCCACUUCAGGAUAUGAUUGGGCAACCCAAAAUCCACGGUGGCCCAGGAUGAGACCCAAUCUCCCAAACCCACUGAUUAGAGUGUACAGAUUGGUGAGCAACUAUGAGGACGCCGUCAUAGUUUCCUGUCAAUGUCACGUUCCCGUUCAUGGAAGCCAACUGCAGCUGAAGGUGGUGGUGGAAGAGCAAAGCUUCACAAUGAACUACCCCGACUUCAGCAGAGGAACAGAACACCUCUUCAAGAUCACGGUGUCUUCACCCGCUUCCUUCUCAUGUGUUCAGAAACUAGACGGCAAGACUCUCCUUAGCGAUGUGUUCAUCUUCAGUAAGCAUAUUGAGAGUCAUGGUUUCCCUGGACCAGAAGUGUCUCUGUCCUACCAGGCAUUCGCAGGAACUCUGGGCUGUCUGCUUAUCCUCAUGAUUUCUGGGAUGGUGGUGAUGAUGAUGAUGACUCUGUUGAAAAUACAGAAAGUGAAACAACGGACCUUCAAGAGAUUCCCUGUCUCAGAAGACACCAAGACUGUUUGACUCUUUAAACAUAGUCUUUUUUCAGUCACAGCGACAUAUAGUUUAUAACUGCUUAGAUAUUUGAUCUUUAAAUUCAUGUUUUUAAGUGGCAUAGGACAUAACGGUAUAAUGACCUAUUAUCCAAGACUAGUAUAUGAGCCAGGAUUAGAUCCAAACAGUUAGUCACAGUGCAGGUGCAUGUCUCAUGCUAGUAGGCUUUGAUAUUUUUGUAUGCAGCUAUGCUAUAGCAUCAAUGAGUAAAUGGCUUAAUUUCUUUCAUUUUGGACUAAUAAGUAUGCAUAUAUGUAAUAUUAGUCUUUUCUUCAGUCAAGACAGAAUAUAUGUACAUGCAGCAUGCAUGCUUACAUGCUUAUGUUUAUUUAGUAGAGUUUAAAAUACUUAAAUGGCUGAUAAAUCAUUACAUGAUUUGGAUUUGGCUUGAUAUAAUUCAGGUGUGUCUCCCAAUAAUAACAAUAUAAGUUCCAUCUUUUAAAUGUCUUGUGUUGAUUAAUUCCAGCUUGUCAAAUAAAUACUUAGAUAUAUUCUUCA
ensembl:lncRNA